rnacentral:misc_RNA from 1 species
GAUGAAGAACGUAGCAAAAUGCGAUAAGUAAUGUGAAUUGCAGAAUUCAGUGAAUCAUCGAAUCUUUGAACGCACAUUGCGCCCGCCAGUAUUCUGGCGGGCAUGCCUGUUCGAGCGUCAUUUCAACCCUCAAGCUCAGCUUGGUGUUGGGACUCGCGGUAACCCGCGUUCCCCAAAUCGAUUGGCGGUCACGACGAGCUUCCAUAGCGUAGUAAUCAUACACCUCGUUACUGGUAAUCGUCGCGGCCACGCCGUAAAACCCCAACUUCUGAAUGUUGACCUCGGAUCAGGUAGGAAUACCCGCUGAACUUAAGCAUAUCAAUAAGCGGAGGA